ACACUAAUAUUCAUCAAAUACAUGUGCAUAAGCUUACAUCAUUGAUGAAUACAAUCAUCUGGCUUAGCCCAAUGACUAUUUAAAUGGCAGCGGAAGUCUAUUAAAAUGGCGGCGGAAGUCUUGGUUUGGCAGCAUAACAACUCUGGCUGGGCUCCACAACUCACAGGACUGGCAAGAUUACGGCCUAGCACGACGGAUCAAGCGAACAAUACGGGUACGACCUACAAAACUGGCAUGACACGCUAGGUUAGUACAUUGAAUGUACUUGCAAGACAACCAAAUACAUAGCAUCCAAACAAGCAGAAGACAAAGCGAGAACCGAGCGCAUGCAACAGCCUAUCUCAUAUCAAUUACUAGACAUGGCAUGAUAAAGAUCAACUAAGCAUGAACAAAAUCAUGGCAAUAACAUGGCCUAACAAAACAUGCUUAUAACAUGGUAAUAGCAAAACAUAGCAUAUUACCUCAAUCAUGGCAUAACUUAACAUGACAAUCAAAGCAUGGCAUGGCAUCAUGAAACUACGCUGAAAAUAAACUACCGAUUAUAUCUAAUGCAGACAUAGCAUGUUAACUUUAUGCAAUCAUCUUCUGUUCUGCCUAGGUUUUUAAAUGCAACAUAUUACUCAUGCAAUGCAACCAACCUUGUGCACCGAGUCCCUCGGACUCUCUUACCAACGGGUUGCCUCGCAACCGAACGGUGAUCUUUCCGGCGAUCACAACCAUGACCAACACUUGGUCUCCAACACUUACCGAGACCUCAUCUCAUGAUCAUAUCAAAACAUUUCCGUGACUUCUCACGACUAUCUCAUAGUCCACAUCACCACAUUCUUAUUGUCACAUUAAUUUACUUAAUUUUUUUAGGUUUAUCAUCCAUUUCGACCAAGACCUGAUAGUGUGACCUACUACGAACUUUGUUGCUAUCGAUAGACUUUAUAUACACUCUGCAGAGAUAGCACACUGUACCCACACCACGGGACCCAUGGCCUCGUCAUCCCAUUUGGGUGGACCAACGGCAUUCUAACUAAACCGACCUACUGCCAUGACACUCUCCCGGCCACUGCGACCCAUUCCGAACUGGGCUAGUCCUGGGUGGCCCCGUGUCUAUCAAAGACAUAAUGACCACCGUCGUGGCCAAAACGUCCCUCACGGGGACCGGUACCAAAAAAAUUAAUAACAGGCACACAAGGUUAUGUCCGCCUACCUGAUCAGGGUAAGCAUGCCCAUAACCUUCCCUAGUUGGAGGCACCGGCGAGAGGCAUGCCAAUAGAUCGCAUUAAGGCCUUCCCAUAAAGGCAAAUGUGGCUGCACUGAAAAAGUUUGAUUUGGUGGCACCAUGACUCGAUCCCAUCGAUUAUGGAGGAGGUUUGUUAUUAUUAACUCAUAUUAAUUCCUUCUCCAUCAUCAUGAACAUGAAUGCAACAAUGAGCAUGCAAUAUACAAAUGCGUGAACAAAAUAUUGAACUUCUCAAGUGCACAACUAUAGCAUAAAGAACAUGACCAUACCAAGUAAUAGCAUAUCAACGGUGCAUUACAAUCCUCAUAACAUUUUAUAACAAUGACAUGCAAAUAAAGUAGAGUAGUGACAUGGCAUUGUCAAUAACAACAUUCUAGCUAGCAUGGCAAAUGAUAUCGUGCAAACACAAGCAUGCAUGACAGGCAUAAUGGAAUAACUGCAGACGAAAAUGAUAUGAAACAACUGCAACUACACACACACAAGGUGCAAGAAAAGUCAACAUGCAAGUUCGGGGCUCAUGAUAAGAGGUUGGCUUGCCUGGGGGUUGACAAAUACUCCGGGAAAAAGUGCGGAAGGAUCGCGGAAAGGUUUGCCGAAAACAGUUCUCUUUCGGAGGGGGCUGUUUACGGGAAAGGGAAAAAGGUCAUUUUCACUGUGUGAAAACAUUAUGAAACUGAUACCAACAAAACGGGCUCGACGAAAUGAAGACGUGAGCUCUGGAAUCACCUGAUUUGGAGCUACGGGUAAAAAGAUAUGAUUGUUUAACUACCAGGGACCUAUCUGUAAAGAACAUCAUUACAAACUGGCCCCUAGCAGAAAAACAAGUCACGCCUUUCUCAGAAAUAUGCUUUCCAGAGAGGAAAGCGCAUUCUGGCCCAAAGAAGUGGAGGAAUACGCUUUCGGCUUAGGGAAAGCGCACUCUCCGGAAUACGCCUCCGGGGCCCCAAAAAUGGAAAACUGCCCGAGGCGCCGCCACUUAACUAACGUGGCGAAGCGGGGUCAACGCGGGCUCACUGACGAGGGGGACCCGCGAGGGGUGGGGCCCGCCUGGCUGGCUUCUUCUUCCUCCCGCUCGACGCGCGCCCGGCUGAGGGGAGACGCCCGCCCCGACGGCACUUGCCGGCGCGUCCGGCCAUGGCAGCGGACAGGCAACCUACCAAAAUGCUCGGGACGGCGAGGGGCACCUCGGGGUGGUGCUAGCUUCCUCUGAGGAACACCAGGGAGGGAGCUGCACGGCCCAUGGCGGAGAGUGGGUUCGGCCAUCGGUGGACACAGUGCUACGGUGGGGAAGGAAAGGGGGCGAGCCACGGGGCGGCUCGCCAGACCUUGGGGAAUGCUCUGGUGGUGGAGGAACUGAGGGGGAAAGCACGAGGUCGCUGGAUUCAAGAUGGACAAAGGCGGCGGCCACGGCGGCGAUGGAGAUCAGAGAGGGGCUCCGAGCUCGGGAAGAGGCCUAGGGAAGGAUGG
rnacentral:lncRNA from 1 species